UACAGAGGUCUCAAGCGUUGUUCGGAUUCAUUGGGCGUAAAGGGUGCGUAGGUGGCAUGGUAAGUCGGAUGUGAAAUCCCGGGGCUCAACCCCAGAACUGCAUUCGAUACUGCUGAGCUAGAGUACUGGAGAGGAGAUUGGAAUUUACGGUGUAGCAGUGAAAUGCGUAGAUAUCGUAAGGAAGACCAGUGGCGAAGGCGGAUCUCUGGACAGUUACUGACACUGAGGCACGAAGGCCAGGGGAGCAAACGGG
rnacentral:rRNA from 1 species